rnacentral:rRNA from 1 species
CCCUUAGAUGUUCUGGGCUGCACACGUGCUACACUGGCAGGUUCAGCGAGCUUCAUGCCCUGAUCUGAAAGGAAUGGGAAAUCUUUUCAAAACCUGCCGUGCUUGGGAUAGAUGUUUGCAAUUAUUCAUCUUCAACGAGGAUUGCCUUGUAAGCGCACGUCAUCAGCGUGCUUUGAAUACGACCCUGUAUUCUGUACACACCGCCCGUCGCUCCUACCGAUUGAAGUUUUCGGUGAGUUGACAGGAGGAUUUUUUUGAAACUGGUUCGCCAGUGGAUUUUAGAUCCAAAUGCCAACGAAUCGAUGGCUUUAGAGGAAGGAGAAGUCGUAACA